UACGUAGGACCCAAGCGUUAUCCGGAUUUACUGGGCGUAAAGAGUUGCGUAGGUGGCAGAGUAAGUUAGUAGUGAAAGCGUAUGGCUCAACCAUAUUCACAUUGCUAAAACUGCUCAGCUUGAGGAUGAGAGAGGUCACUGGAAUUCCUUGUGUAGGAGUGAAAUCCGUAGAUAUAAGGAGGAACACCGAUGGCGUAGGCAGGUGACUGGCUCAUUUCUGACACUAAGGCACGAAAGCGUGGGUAGCAAACGGG
rnacentral:rRNA from 1 species